UUACUCAAGCCCCAGAACCAUCAGAGCAGUGUCGAAGAGGAAAACCUGAAAGGAGGAGGAUUUUUGAAGGAAAGGAAACUGGAAAAGAGGAGGGCAGUUUUACCUGAAUUGUUUUGCCUGGAGAAAUAAAGGUGCAUAAGUACAUUACGGCAGCAUGACCUUCCACCCCUUCUCCCCGGACCAGCUCCUCUUCAGCCUUCACAACGAAUGCUGGAAUCCACGGAUGUGGCGAUCACUCCCUGAUCCGGGCAGACUCUGAAACACGUUCUCCUGAUUUUCCACAGCUCUCUUCAUCCCUCCGUUAUUGUGCUGUCUCGUGUGAGCGUUACCCUUUAGGUGUCUGCUGCCCUAGACGAGGCUUCUUAUUCAUUUCCCCAUCCCCUAAGAUAUACGAAAGGGCUUCUGUAAUGUUUGCAAAAUGAAUAAAUAAAACCCUGAGGUCUGUCAGAAUCACCCAGAACUGCUCUUCACAAGCACAGGACCCACUGGCAAGCCCCCAGGCCAUGCAGGCGCUGACCUUGAUCCUCAGGCACUGUGGUUCCUUCAAGGAAGCCUCUGGGAAGGCUGGAAUCCAGGUCACACAGAGGUAAUCCAGCUAGAAAAGGAAGGAGGCGCUUUCACAUGAGAUAGGAAGGGGCAGUAGAUGAGAAAUCGGCCUUGGAAACGCCGCUGUGUGGCUAGACUACGGGACUACGAGGAUGGACACUGUCUAAAACGAGACGUGUGCCCCCGCAUCUCAUGGAGACAACGAGCGCUGCUGCUGGGGAGACCCAGCCUGGGAGGUUGAUGAGGGAAGACAAAGGAGGCGGUUUCCUUUUUUCUGUAACUGAGGGCAGCAAUCGCUUUGCAGUCAUAAUUCGGACACUUAACAGUGAGCGCUUCUGAGAGGGGAGGAGGAGAUUGGGAGGCGAAGGAAGGAAGGGAGGAAGAGGAGCAUCCCCCGGGGCUUUGCAGUGAGCAGAUGACCGCAAAGGAGCGAGCCGCCUUCUGUGGUGAUGACAGAGGAGUCUCCUGCGGUGCUGAGAGCAGCCCAGCAGGACAGGGGCCGGUGACCCGACCAUGGGCGGCCUAGGGACCUAAUGCUGCUGCUCAGCUGCCCAAUCGUCGGCCCUUCGAGGGGACACAGCAGACUUCAGAGGGAAAGCUGGGGAGAGCAACUUUGUAUCUGUCUGUCACGAGUCCUAUCAGUGGAGCAGGGUUAUUUUGAACUAACAACAAUUAGGCCAGGAUUUCAGAGCUUAGUUCUGUUCUGUGAUUUUGGCUUGCCCUGUAGUCAUGAUGCUACAUGUGCUUCAAGAAACACACACAGUUUUCCAUUAAGUUCUUUGGAAAGUUUGAGGAGACCCCCUGGCUGCUGCUCAUCAUUAGGGAGUGGGCUUUCUGGCACCUUCUAAACACUCAGUUCCACAAGACGUGGGACGCAGCUGGAACCUGCAUAUCCAGGAUCCUCCUCAGGCGCUAAUCAGGGUGCUCUUUGCCUUUGCCUCCUUUCCUUUGUAAUCUCUCGUCCACCAUGGCCACCCCGACCUUUGCCCUCUCUCCCUGACCAGCUCCUCCAUAUCCUUCGUGACCAGCACCGUGGUCAGCACGGGUGGACAACCUUCCCUGACCCGGACGGACUCCUCAGUUCUGGUUUCUACAGCACUCCUUCGUGCCUGUUACUGCACUUACUUCCCAUGAGUGUUACACACCUGGGGAGCUGGACACGGGACCUGUGUGUCAGGUGCACAUGCCGUGCUUGUGGCCCAAACAGGUCCCCGCUCCUGACCUCCAGGUCUUUGCUGUUGUUCUGGGAGGACACCCUCGCCUCCUGCUCCACUGUGCUCCUGGAACAGGACUAAACUGGCCCCCUUUGUGGCUCCUCAGACAGCAUUUGAUGAUGAGUCAGCGAGGACAGGCCGCCCUCAGCACCCCCAGGGCUGUUCGGCCCGGCAGGACUGCACUGCCCACCUUCUCAUGGCGGUUACUGAUUGCCUUCUAGACCUGCCUCAGAGCUUCCCGUAACCUGGUGGUGAACGAAAUGCACAGCCUUCCAACUCAGUGACAUUUAAGGCAGCCAGUCAUCGGUUCAGGCAGCAAAAUAAAUUGGUACUCAGCUGCUCUCAGUCUCUUUUUCUGGUUAAAGCUAUAAAUAACAGAAAUGAUUGUGCCACUGC
ensembl:lncRNA